ACGUUUUUUUCAUAGAGAUUUAGAUUUAAGGUUAGAAGAAUUGUGGAAGUCGUGAGACUUCCCUUUUUUUCAUCUUAACGUUUACUAUUCUUCAUUAUGAGAAUGCAAUGACACUUCAUCUCAAGUGUUGCAAUUGAAAAUAUUGCAGGAAGAUGGUGCAGAAUAAGUAAACCUAAAAAGCCUUCUUCGUGAGAAGAGGCUUUUUU
rnacentral:sRNA from 1 species